rnacentral:tRNA from 1 species
GUAGUAGUCGUCUAAUGGAAGGACAUCAGAUUGUGGCUCUGAUAAUAAGAGUUCGAUUCUCUUCGAUUACC